rnacentral:miRNA from 1 species
UCCCUUCCGGUCAUCGAGACUGUACAGUCUCUCAAUGACCGGAAGGGAUUCCUUCCGGCCAUCGAGAUUGUAUGGUCUCGAUGACCGGAAGGAA